rnacentral:rRNA from 1 species
UCCGUAGGUGAACCUGCGGAGGGAUCAUUACCGAGUUUACAACUCCCAAACCCAAUGUGAACGUUACCAAACUGUUGCCUCGGCGGGAUCUCUGCCCCGGGUGCGUCGCAGCCCCGGACCAAGGCGCCCGCCGGAGGACCAACCAAAACUCUUUAUGUAUACCCCCUCGCGGGUUUUUUACAAUCUGAGCCAUCUCGGCGCCCCUCGUGGGCGUUUCGAAAAUGAAUCAAAACUUUCAACAACGGAUCUCUUGGUUCUGGCAUCGAUGAAGAACGCAGCGAAAUGCGAUAAGUAAUGUGAAUUGCAGAAUUCAGUGAAUCAUCGAAUCUUUGAACGCACAUUGCGCCCGCCAGUAUUCUGGCGGGCAUGCCUGUCCGAGCGUCAUUUCAACCCUCGAACCCCUCCGGGGGGUCGGCGUUGGGGAUCGGCCCUUUACGGGGCCGGCCCCGAAAUACAGUGGCGGUCUCGCCGCAGCCUCUCCUGCGCAGUAGUUUGCACACUCGCAUCGGGAGCGCGGCGCGUCCAUUGCCGUAAAACACCCAACUUUCUGAAAUGUUGACCUCGGAUCAGGUAGGAAUACCCGCUGAACUUAAGCAUAUCAAUAAGCGGAGGA